rnacentral:rRNA from 1 species
CUUGAACGCUGGCGGCAUGCUUUACACAUGCAAGUCGAACGGUAACAGGCCGCAAGGUGCUGACGAGUGGCGAACGGGUGAGUAAUGCAUCGGAACGUGCCCAGUCGUGGGGGAUAACGCAGCGAAAGCUGUGCUAAUACCGCAUACGAUCUAUGGAUGAAAGCGGGGGACCGGAAGGCCUCGCGCGAUUGGAGAGGCCGAUGUCAGAUUAGGUAGUUGGUGGGGUAAAGGCCCACCAAGCCAACGAUUUGUAGCUGGUCUGAGAGGACGACCAGCCACACUGGGACUGAGACACGGCCCAGACUCCUACGGGAGGCAGCAGUGGGGAAUUUUGGACAAUGGGCGCAAGCCUGAUCCAGCAAUGCCGCGUGCAGGAAGAAGGCCUUCGGGUUGUAAACUGCUUUUGUACGGAACGAAACGGCUCUGGUUAAUACCCGGGGCUAAUGACGGUACCGUAAGAAUAAGCACCGGCUAACUACGUGCCAGCAGCCGCGGUAACAC